CCUACGGGUGGCAGCAGUGGGGAAUAUUGCACAAUGGGGGAACCCCUGAUGCAGCGACGCCGCGUGAGUGAAGAAGUAUUUCGGUACGUAAAGCUCUAUCAGCCGGGAAGAAAAAAAGUCCUUUGGACUUUGGACGGUACCUGACCAAGAAGCCCCGGCUAACUACGUGCCAGCAGCCGCGGUAAUACGUAGGGGGCAAGCGUUCUCCGGAUUUACUGGGGGUAAAGGGAGCGUAGACGGCAGCGCAAGUCUGGAGUGAAAUGCCGGGGCCCAACCCCGGAACUGCUUUGGAAACUGUGCAGGUGGAGUGCAGGAGAGGUAAGCGGAAUUCCUAGUGUAGCGGUGAAAUGCGUAGAUAUUAGGAGGAACACCAGUGGCGAAGGCGGCUUACUGGACUGUAACUGACGUUGAGGCUCGAAAGCGUGGGGAGCAAACAGGAUUAGAUACCCUAGUAGUC
rnacentral:rRNA from 1 species